rnacentral:rRNA from 1 species
AUUGAACGCUGGCGGCAGACCUAACACAUGCAAGUCGAGCGGGGUUUUCGGACCUAGCGGCGGACGGGUGAGUAAUGCGUAGGAAGCUGCCCGAUAGAGGGGGAUACCAGUUGGAAACGACUGUUAAUACCGCAUAAUGUCUACGGACCAAAGUGUGGGACCUUCGGGCCACAUGCUAUCGGAUGCGCCUACGUGGGAUUAUCUAGUUGGUGAGGUAAUGGCUCACCAAGGCGACGAUCUCUAGCUGGUUUGAGAGGAUUAUCAGACACACUGGAACGGAGACACGGUCCAGACUCCUAAGGGAGGCAGCAGUGGGGAAUAUUGGACAAUGGGCGCAAGCCUGAUCCAGCCAUGCCGCGUGUGUGAAGAAGGCCUUCGGGUUGUAAAGCACUUUCAGCGAGGAGGAAGGGGUGUGUGUUAAUAGUACACACCUUUGCCGUUACUCGCAGAAGAAGCACCGGCUAACUCUGUGCCAGCCGCCGCGGUAAAAC